GACGAACGCUGGCGGCGUGCUUAACACAUGCAAGUCGAACGGAAAGGCCCUGCUUGCAGGGUACUCGAGUGGCGAACGGGUGAGUAACACGUGGGUGAUCUGCCCUGCACUUCGGGAUAAGCCUGGGAAACUGGGUCUAAUACCGGAUAGGAGCCAUUUUUAGUGUGAUGGUUGGAAAGUUUUUUCGGUGUAGGAUGAGCUCGCGGCCUAUCAGCUUGUUGGUGGGGUAAUGGCCUACCAAGGCGGCGACGGGUAGCCGGCCUGAGAGGGUGGACGGCCAGAUUGGGACUGAGAUACGGCCCAGACUCCUACGGGAGGCAGCAGUGGGGAAUAUUGCACAAUGGGCGCAAGCCUGAUGCAGCGACGCCGCGUGGGGGAUGACGGCCUUCGGGUUGUAAACUCCUUUCGCUAGGGACGAAGCUUUUUGUGACGGUACCUAGAGAAGAAGCACCGGCUAACUACGUG
rnacentral:rRNA from 1 species